UCCGGGGUAGCUCAACCGGCAGAGCAAGCGGCUGUUAACCGCUAGGUUGUGAGUUCGAGUCUCACCCCCGGAGCCA
rnacentral:tRNA from 2 species